CAGCCAGUUUCUUCCCAAUUGACAGGGGAACAAACUCCCAUUAAUUGCAGCAGCUGCUAACCGGGAGAAGUCUUCACAACUCUAAGAGCUUCCAGGAGCAGCAGUUCAUCUUACAAACAGGGAGCAGGGAAUCUUAGCCAGUCUGUAGGAGAAGGAAAUUCCUGCCUGGACUCCCUGUGUGUAU